AGCGGCGUACGGGUGCGGAACACGUGUGCACUGCUUUAUCUGGGGGAUAGUCUUUCGAAAGGAAGAUUAAUACCCCAUAAUAUGUUGAAUGGCAUCAUUCGACCAUUGAAAACUCCGGUGGAUAGAGAUGGGCACGCGCAAGAUUAGAUAGUUGGUGAGGUAACGGCUCACCAAGUCUACGAUCUUUAGGGGGUCUGAGAGGGUGAUCCCCCACACUGGUACUGAGACGCGGACCAAACUCCUACGGGAGGCAGCAGUGAGGAAUAUUGGACAAUGGGUGAGAGCCUGAUCCAGCCAUCCCCGCGUGAAGGACGACUGCCCUAUGGGUUGUAAACUCUCUUUUGUAUAGGGAUAAACCUACCCUCGUGAGGGUAGCUGAAGGUACUAUACGAAUAAGCACCGGCUAACUCCGUGCCAGCAGCCGCGGUAAUAACCGGACGGGGUUGCAAAGCCGUUUCAAUCCCGGGAAUNCAAUGGGGGUUUCUACAACGGGGGUCCCGUACGGCGGGAAUCUUGCUAAAGUCACACGGUGGGCUGGAAAAUCCUCCACCAAGGCUUUAACGGGUGAAAACUUGGCCCAUUUGGAUAAACUGGCANGGU
rnacentral:rRNA from 1 species